AACGUAGGAGCCUAGCGUUAUCCGAAUUCACUGGGCGUAAAGCGCGGGCAGGCGGUCUUGCCAGUCUGAUGUGAAAUCUCUCCGCUCAACGGGGAGCAGCCAUUGGAAACUACAAGACUGGAGUCUGACAGAGGUAGGCGGAAUUCCGGGUGGAGUGGUGAAAUGCGUAGAGAUCCGGAGGAACACCAGAGGCGAAGGCGGCCUACUGGGUCAGUACUGACGCUGAGCCGCGAAAGCCAGGGGAGCGAACGGG
rnacentral:rRNA from 1 species